rnacentral:rRNA from 1 species
UACGUAGGGGUGCAAGCGUUAAUCGGAAUUACUGGGCGUAAAGCGUGCGCAGGCGGUUUGUAAGUCUGUCGUGAAAUCCCCGGGCUCAACCUGGGAAUUGCGAUGGAGACUGCAAGGCUAGAAUCUGGCAGAGGGGGGUAGAAUUCCACGUGAUAGCAGUGAAAUGCGUAGAGUAGUGUGAGGAACACCGAUGGCGAAGGCAGCCCCCUGGGUCAAGAUUGACGC